rnacentral:rRNA from 1 species
AGUGAACGCUGGCGGUAGGCCUAACACAUGCAAGUCGAACGGCAGCACAGUAAGAGCUUGCUCUUACGGGUGGCGAGUGGCGGACGGGUGAGGAAUACAUCGGAAUCUACUUUUUCGUGGGGGAUAACGUAGGGAAACUUACGCUAAUACCGCAUACGACCUACGGGUGAAAGCAGGGGAUCUUCGUACCUUGCGCGAUUGAAUGAGCCGAUGUCGGAUUAGCUAGUUGGCGGGGUAAAGGCCCACCAAGGCGACGAUCCGUAGCUGGUCUGAGAGGAUGAUCAGCCACACUGGAACUGAGACACGGUCCAGACUCCUACGGGAGGCAGCAGUGGGGAAUAUUGGACAAUGGGCGCAAGCAUGAUCCAGCCAUACCGAGUGGGUGAAGAAGGCCUUCGGGUUGUAAAGCCCUUUUGUUGGGAAAGAAAAGCAGCAGGUUAAUACCCCGCUGUUCUGACGGUACCCAAAGAAUAAGCACCGGCUAACUUCGUG